rnacentral:lncRNA from 1 species
CUUGACUUGGGAGGGACAUGGUGGGAAGGGGCCAGAACGAGCCUUCUAAAGCUUAGGUCUCAGCGCAGGGGCCUCAUCCAGGUCAAGGGCAACAGUGCUUUCAGCCGUGGAUAUGCAAACAUUCAACCUAUUUUUUUCCCCCACAGGUACAGCAGCCAGAGUCCCACCCUGCACUUUCCUUCUUAUUAUAGAAAUCCAUGAAGGACUGGACUGUUGGGGGUUGGGGUGGACUGUGAAUGGAUGGAAAAUCUGGAGUUCCCAAGUUUGACUAUGCCUGGCACACUGAAAAGAUGGAGUUUUCAAAUAGACAGGACUGAGCAGUGGAGUUUGGGCUGCAGUGACUUCCCCAAGACUGCUGCCACUUGGGUGAGUCCUCCGGGCCUCCCCACUUGUGGGGACAGUGUGAAAGAGUACUCGGUAAAAUGUGUGGUCCAGAGUGGUGCACC